UGCGGUGUCCGCAUGGACUUGAUAGGGAAUCCGGUCAGAAUCCGGAACAAUACCCGUUGCUGUGUGUCCGCAAAAAGGGACUGCACAAUAUGCCACUGCCUCUGGCGGGAAGGCGUGCAGUCCGGACGAGUCAGAAGACCUGCCGCUGCC
rnacentral:ncRNA from 1 species